UUCAUAAAACAUUAAAAAAAUGUAAAAAAAUAUUUGAAAAAUACAUGAACACAAUCACACUACUUCCACAUCACAAGAAAGCUACCUCAGUGGAAGAACCAAGCUUCCCACCUGCUUUCCUCAUUUAGGUCAAAGCAAUUUCCUGGGUUCUCUCCAUUUGGAACACAGGCUAAUUCUAGCGGGGACCUGCUUUGGUUCGAAACAGAGAUCGAGGGAGACAAGUGUUUAUGCAGUCUCUCAGGAAGAUUCAGAAGUCACACAUGGAGAGAGAGAAAGGAGCAUUAAAAGGGUGAAUUCCAGUUGAACAAGGGGAAAAAAACAGAAAGGAAUGCACAAAUACUGGAUCAGAAGCAUGGUUUAAAAAUGAUCAUUUAUCAUCAUUAAACCACGUAACUACAUAAUUAUGGCGGCAAGAUACAUCACGAUGGACAGGCAUUUCAAGCUGUUGUGGUCUGACACAAUCUUAUUUUCCCUACAGCCUACAGGCUAACUAGAAGAUAAUACUAGCACUUCGUGCUUCUACAACUUCAACCCAGCAUUUCAAUGGAAUUUCACAAAA